GUACAUCCACUUGGUUGUUCAAAGAGUCAAGGGAGGGUACAUCCCUUGUGGAUCUUUGCUUGUAAAGGAUUUUACAAGGUUAUUGGAAAUCUCAAGAACCGGUGGUUGCUUAGGGACUGGAUGUAGGCACGGGUUGUGGCCGAACCAGUAUAAAUCUUGUGUUUGUCUUCUUCUUCCCUACACUCUUUACUUUUCCGCUGUGUUCUUUUAUUUCCGCUUUAAUUUUGUCUAAGUUAUUGUUUUUGUUCUUUACUUCCUCAUAACUUAGUAGUAAAGCCUAAUUGAAUCUAGUAAUAUUAAGAAGGAUAAAUUUUUAAUUAGUCAAGACACAUUCAUA
rnacentral:lncRNA from 1 species